UCACCAUGUAUAUGAACAUUAUAAUAACACGCUUACUAAAUAAUUUUUAGGAAAUUUUAGGUACUUUGAAAUAGAUCCAUAAACCCUUCUUGGAGUCUUAACUCCGUUCACAUUGGCCCAAUGUCAGAUGCUGCUAAUGUUGGAGGCAAUAAUGAAUGAUAAUAAGCGGCUCCCAUAUACACCGUAUGAUACUAGGCAUAGAAUUAGGCAGCUUGCGUACUUUCGCAUGAUACACGAGUCUAAUCUAGUGUGUCGACAAAGCACGCGAAUGGAGAGAUGAACAUUUGCUAUUCUAUUCCAUUUACUGAGGACUAUCGCUGGCCUUUCGUCGACAGAGAUUGUCGAUCUUGAGAAAAUGGUUGCCAUGUUUUUGCAUGACGUGAAGAACCGCGUUAUUCAAAGAGAAUUUGUACGGUUUGGUGAGACUAUAUUGUGACAUUUCAACCUCGUCUUGUUGGCUGUGGUCCGACUCCAUGACAAGUUGAUAAAGAAACUGGUGCUAGUAACAAACAACUACAUGAAUCCACGGUGGAAGUGUUUCGAGAAUUGCCUUGGGGGUGUUAGAUGGUACGUACACAAAGAUGAAUGUGCCCACAAUCGAUCUCCUUACGUUCAGAAUGCGUAAACGGAAAAUUAUCACUAUUGUACUCGGUGUCUGUGACACAAAAGGGGAUUUCGUAUACGUAGUGGCCGGUUGGGAAGGAUCUGCAGCAGACUUGCGGAUUCUGCGAGAUGCGCUUACAUGACCAAACGGACUGCAAGUGCCAAAGGGCAUUUACAAUUUUUAAUCCCACCACGUCGUUUUGAAAUUCCAUAUUGAACGCGCAUAAACCAUUGGUUCUUGUAACAAGAUAUUAUUAUUUGUGCGAUGCAGGUUAUCCAAAUGCGAAAGGAUUUCUCAUCUCAUAUAGAGGCCAGAGGUACCACUUGCAAGAGUAGCGUGGCAUUAGAAAUGCCCCAACCACUACAAAGAAAUACUUCAACAUGAAACACUCAUCGGUAAGAAAUGUGAUUGAGCGCGUGUUCAGUCUUCUGAAGGAUCGGUGGACAAUACUUCGUGGAAAGUCGUACUAUCCCCUUCAAGUGCAGUGUCGCACCAUUCUAGCAUGUUACCUGCUAUAUAAUUUGAUAAACAGAAAAAUGACAAAUUAGGAAGACAUAGACGAUGUUGACGAGGAAAACUCCGCAUACGCAAUGACCACCGCAGGAGACGACAUUUAGUCAUUGAGACCACAAACAAGUGGUCGCAGUGGUAGAAUGAAUUAGUUGAAGCGAUUUUCAUCGAAUGACAGUUGCGUAACACAUAGCUAAAACCAUUUGAAAUUAGAACCCCUGAGUUGUAUGACAAUUUAAAUUACUUAUACUAUUUAUUUUGAAUAUCAAAUGUAUGCGUGCAUGCUUUACAUCAAUGGGGAAAUAAAUUAUAAUGAUACGUCCUAAUAUUGUUUGGCAUUUAUUGUGUCUCUUUAAUGUGGACAUUCGAAACUACUAACGUGUUUCAUGUAUUUAUUGUCAUUUUUUAUUUUCAGUAUGACAAUCUCAUCCCGUGUCCCAAAUAUGUAUGGAUGAAGGAGGAGGACACUCUAGUUGAAUGUUUAGUGGAGUUGGUAUCCACCAGCGGAUGGAAGCUGAGGAAUAGUAUGUUCCGACAAGGUUAUCAGAGGGAUUUGUGGGCCAGCGUGCAGUGGAUUCAGAUGGAACGAUGAGGCAAAGCUAGUGCAUCAUUGUCGAGAAGGAAGUGUUCGACAAUUGUGUUAGGUCGCAUCUUGUAGGGAAGGGCUUGAAGUGUACGAGGGCAAGAGGAGAAGCCAAUGAGAGGGUGAGAUUGAUAUGAUACAUAUGACCUUGGAGUGUACGAAUGACCAAUUAAGGACCAUUCGUGUGCCCUUGCCAAUGAGACCUUUAUUCGCCAAGAAUUCUUACACCUAUUACGUGAGAUGCCCGACCUAAGCAAUUUGAACAGGACGUUAUGCCAAAGGCAGCUCAUGUGCAGUAUGGAUGACAUGCACGGUUUCGUAGAGAUGACUGACAAAGAGAGGAAGAAGUUCUGCAGAGUCCUCAUACGAAACAUCUCGAGAUAGUUUCUAUCCUUUCUUAGCUGGCUUACUUAACUUGGACUAUGAUUUUUACUAUUGUUUAUAAUUUUAUUUUAUCAAACUUUUUUUUCGUAUGUACGGUACUUUGAUGUGUAUGUGAUUUCUACUAUUUUAUGCAUAUGUUUUAUUUUUAAUGUUCUA